CCCUUAGACGUUCUGGGCCGCACGCGCGCUACACUGACACAGGCAACGAGCUUUCCUUUACCGAAAGGUAUGGGUAAUCUUUUGAAACUGUGUCGUGCUGGGGAUAGAUCCUUGCAAUUUUUGAUCUUAAACGAGGAAUUCCUAGUAAGCGCGAGUCAUCAACUCGCGUUGAUUACGUCCCUGCCCUUUGUACACACCGCCCGUCGCUACUGCCAACUGAGAUGGGUCCUGAAUUGUUAGGAACGCCCGUCAAGGGGCCUACCCGGUCCCUAGUGCGGUGACGAGAAUAACUGUAAAUGGCAUAUCUUGUAGGGAGUAAAAGUCGUAACA
rnacentral:rRNA from 1 species